GUGCUCGCUUUGGCAGCACAUAUAUUAAAAUUGAAACGAUACAGAGAAGAUUAACAUGCCCCUAUGCAAGGAUGACACGCAAAUUCAUGAAACGUUGCAUAUUUUU